UCUUCCGAUGCUUUAUAGACUAUACUAAAAUUGGAACGAUACAGAUAGGAUUAGCAUGGCCACUGCGUAAGGAUGACAUUCAAAAUCGUAGAGCGUUCCAUGUUUGU